AUUGAACGCUGGCGGCAGGCCUAACACAUGCAAGUCGAACGGUAACAGGAAACAGCUUGCUGCUUCGCUGACGAGUGGCGGACGGGUGAGUAAUGUCUGGGAAACUGCCUGAUGGAGGGGGAUAACUACUGGAAACGGUAGCUAAUACCGCAUAACGUCGCAAGACCAAAGAGGGGGACCCUCGGGCCUCUUGCCAUCGGAUGUGCCCAGAUGGGAUUAGCUUGUCGGUGGGGUAACGGCUCACCAAGGCGACGAUCCCUAGCUGGUCUGAGAGGAUGACCAGCCACACUGGAACUGAGACACGGUCCAGACUCCUACGGGAGGCAGCAGUGGGGAAUAUUGCACAAUGGGCGCAAGCCUGAUGCAGCCAUGCCGCGUGUAUGAAGAAGGCCUUCGGGUUGUAAAGUACUUUCAGCGGGGAGGAAGGGAGUAAAGUUAACACCUUUGCUCAUUGACGUUACCCGCAGAAGAAGCACCGGCUAACUCCGUG
rnacentral:rRNA from 1 species